UGGGUAACCUGCCUCAAAGAGGGGAAUAGCCUCCCGAAAGGGAGAUUAAUACCGCAUAAUAUGUUUAGGUCGCAUGACUUUAACAUCAAAGGAUUUUCUUUUAGAAAUUCCACUUUGAGAUGGACCCGCGGCGCAUUAGCUAGUUGGUGAGGUAACGGCUCACCAAGGCAACGAUGCGUAGCCGACCUGAGAGGGUNAUCGGCCACAUUGGAACUGAGACACGGUCCAGCUCCUAGGAAG
rnacentral:rRNA from 1 species